AGUGAACGCUGGCGGCGUGCCUAAUACAUGCAAGUCGAACGGAGUGGCGCACGGGUGAGUAAUGUAUAGCUAAUCUGCCCUACACUAGAGGACAACAGUUGGAAACGGCUGCUAAUACUCUAUAGUGUAGGAUGAGGCUAUAUUGUAUCAGCUAGUUGGUGAGGUAAUGGCUAACCAAGGCUAUGACGCAUAACUGGUCUGAGAGGAUGAUCAGUCACCCUGGACGUGAGGCACGGUCCAGACUCCUACGGGAGGCAGCAGUAGGGAAAAUUGCCCAAUGGGGGAAACCCGGAAGCGGCAACGGCGCGUGGAGGAUGACACUUUUCGGAGAGUAAACUCCUUUUGUUAGGGAAGCGGUACCUAACGAAUAAGCACCGGCUAACUCCGUGCCAGCAGCCGCGGUAAUUC
rnacentral:rRNA from 1 species